rnacentral:piRNA from 2 species
UGAUGAUAUUAUGGGAUCCGAAGU